GACGAACGCUGGCGGCGUGCCUAAUACAUGCAAGUAGAACGCACAGUUUAUACCGUAGCUUGCUACACCAUAAACUGUGAGUUGCGAACGGGUGAGUAACGCGUAGGUAACCUGCCUGGUAGCGGGGGAUAACUAUUGGAAACGAUAGCUAAUACCGCAUAAUAUUGAUUAUUGCAUGAUAAUUGAUUGAAAGAUGCUAUUGCAUCACUACCAGAUGGACCUGCGUUGUAUUAGCUAGUAGGUGAGGUAACGGCUCACCUAGGCGACGAUACAUAGCCGACCUGAGAGGGUGAUCGACCACACUGGGACUGGGACACGGCCCAGACUCCUACGGGAGGCAGCAGUAGGGGAGCUUCGGCAAUGGACGAAAGGCUGACCGAGCAACGCCGCGUGAGUGAAGGAGGGUUUCGGGUCGUAAAGCUCUGUUGUGAGGGAAGAACGGGUGUGAGAGUGGAAAGUUCACACUGUGACGGUAUCUUACCAGAAAGGGACGGCUAACUACGUG
rnacentral:rRNA from 1 species